ACAAACCUUGAUCGUCCAUUUUUUUUGUUUCGCAGUGCACUGAGUUUUGUAGUACAGUAUUUGAUAUCGCUAUUUCCGUAACUUACAUUGUAUAAUCCAGUUUUAUUUUGGGAAGACACUAAUACUAAAUAAUCUAUUUACCAUAUAUCAUAGAGUAAGCAGUCAGCACAGGGAUUGUGUUCAGAAAAUGGUCCAGUAUUUUGUUUCUCAGAUUGCAAUCAUCAGUGUCAGAUGUAAGCCAUUUUAGAUUCUCCUGAAGACCUAAUGGAGAAAAAGGAUGGAUAAAGCCGGCCCGAUUCAGAUUAAUGUUACAGUAGUACUUUUUUAACAAUAAAAUUAUUCAUGUGCCUAAAGGAGUGUUUAAGUAAACUUAUUGAUUUUUGUUUAGCGUUUAUAUAAAAUUAAACCAAUCCAGUCUGGCACAUGUACAUGAAAUAAUGAACAAAGUUAUAAUAAACUAUGGAAUUUGUAAAUUA